GACGGUGUAUUUCAAUUUGGAAGAAUACUUACUUGCCAAGUAAGGGGUAUAAGUUCGAGUCUUAUCGCCGUCA
rnacentral:tRNA from 1 species